rnacentral:tRNA from 1 species
UCCCUGGUGGCCUAAUGGUUAAGGAUCUGGCAUUGUCACUGCUGUGGCUCAAGUUACUGCUGUGGCCCAGGUUCGAUCCCUGGCCCGGGAA